AUUGAACUCUGGCGGCAGGCCUAACACAUGCAAGUCGAGCGAGCGGCGGACGGGUGAGUAAUGUAUGGGGACUGCCCGAUAGAGGGGGCUAACUACUGGAACCGGUGGCUAAUACCGCAUACUAUCGGAUACCCCAUGUGGGAUUAGCGAGUAGGUGGGGUAAAGGCUCACCUAGGCGACGAUCGCUCGCUGGUCUGAGAGGAUGAUGAGCCCACUGGGAACUGAGACACGGCCAAGAGUCCAACGGAGGCAGCAGUGGGGAAUAUUGGACAAUGGGCUCAAGCCUGAGGCAGCCAUGCCGCGUGUUUGAAGAAGGCCUUAGGGUUGUAAAGUACUUUCAUCGGGGAGGCGUUACCCAAAGAAGAAGCACCGGCUAACUACGUGCCAGAAGCCGCGGUAAUAC
rnacentral:rRNA from 1 species